CGUUCCGUAAGGUUCGACUGUGGAAACCGGCGAACGGGUGCGUAACACGUGAGAAACCUGCCCCCCAGAUCGGGAUAGCCCAGGGAAACUUGGAUUAAUACCGGAUACUCUCUUUGGAUCACAUGAUCCGUUGAGGAAACAGUCCGCUGCUGGGGGAUGGUCUCGCGGCCUAUCAGCUUGUUGGUGAGGUAACGGCUCACCAAGGCUAAGACGGGUAGCUGGUCUGAGAGGACGAUCAGCCACACUGGAACUGAGACACGGUCCAGACUCCUACGGGAGGCAGCAGCAGGGAAUAUUGCACAAUGGGCGAAAGCCUGAUGCAGCGACACCGCGUGCGGGAUGACGGCCUUAGGGUUGUAAACCGCUUUCGGGAGGGAAGAAAAUGACGGUACCUCCUAAAGAAGCUCCGGCCAACUACGUGCCAGCAGCCGCGGUAAUACGUAGGGAGCAAACGUUGUCCGGAUUUAUUGGGCGUAAAGGGCUCGUAGGCGGUUCAACAAGUUGGUCGUGAAAGCCCGGGGCUCAACCCCGGGAGGCCGAUCAAAACUGUUGUGACUAGAGUUCGGUAGAGGUGAGUGGAAUUCUCGGUGUAGCGGUGGAAUGCGCAGAUAUCGAGAGGAACACCAUUAGCGAAGGCGGCUCACUGGGCCGAUACUGACGCUGAGGAGCGAAAGCGUGGGGAGCAAACAGGAUUAGAUACCCUGGUAGUCCACGCCGUAAACGAUGAACACUAGGUGUAGCGGAAUGAUUCAUUUCUGCUGCGCCGUAGCUAACGCAUUAAGUGUUCCGCCUGGGGAGUACGGCCGCAAGGCUAAAACUCAAAGGAAUUGACGGGGCCCCGCACAAGCGGCGGAGCAUGCGGCUUAAUUCGAUGCAACCCGAAGAACCUUACCUGGGUUUGACAUGGUGGGUCUAGCUGUGGAAACACAGUGUGCUUAGGCGCUCAUCACAGGUGGUGCAUGGCCGUCGUCAGCUCGUGUCGUGAGAUGUUGGGUUAAGUCCCGCAACGAGCGCAACCCUUGUCCUAUGUUGCCAGCACGUAAUGGUGGGGACUCAUGGGAGACUGCCGGGACA
rnacentral:rRNA from 1 species